UGGGGAAUAUUGGGCAAUGGACGCAAGUCUGACCCAGCAACGCCGCGUGAAGGAAGAAGGCUUUCGGGUUGUAAACUUCUUUUAAGGGGGAAGAGCAGAAGACGGUACCCCUUGAAUAAGCCACGGCUAACUACGUGCCAGCAGCCGCGGUAAUACGUAGGUGGCAAGCGUUGUCCGGAUUUACUGGGUGUAAAGGGCGUGCAGCCGGAGAGACAAGUCAGAUGUGAAAUCCGCGGGCUCAACCCGCGAACUGCAUUUGAAACUGUUUCCCUUGAGUAUCGGAGAGGUCAUCGGAAUUCCUAG
rnacentral:rRNA from 1 species